CUGGCGAGAUAAUACCUUCUCUGCAGCCGCAUUACCCCGGGGACCGGCUAUUUUGGAAGUGGGAAGUGUGGGGUGAAGGGACCCGGGGUUCCUCCCUUCUACGUCCCCCUAGAGCCGGACCCUGCGCGCCCGAGAACCACGAGGGCCAGGGAGGCACCUCAGCGCCGGGGGUGGGGGCGUGGGGCCUGCGCGCCAGCUCUGCCAGACGUGCGGGGCGGCUCCACACGUGCCGCGGAGGCCGGGACAGGACUCUCCUCCCCACCCCCCAGCCUCGAGCUCAGAGAAGGAAGUCGAGGUUCAGAGUCCGACCUAGGCCUCAGUCAAGAGCUCGGACUCCCUGGGCGUUCGCCUCGCCUUGCCACUCACCGUGGAAGGCCGGGGGUCCCGGCAGCUCGCCCUGCCUUCACCCGGCCGUGUGUCCAGGCCUCGGGUUCUAGUUCCGUGAAAAGUAUCGGCCCUCCAGCCCUGGGAGCGGAGAAAGGGCCCUGUGCUGCGAAGCCGCUGGAAAGUAUAGGUGCGCAGUGGGGACAGGGUCCCAGCGUGCGGCGUGACUUGGGUUGGGGGAGUCUUCUAGGAACCUUGGCCCCUCCUCCAACGACCCCAGGGGGUGACUGGGUUCCAUAAACUCAAAUGAAUGGGACAGGCUGUGGGAGACCUGGCCUGGGGCGGCGGCUGCCCGUGGGGGCCCUUCCCGGGCUGGCUGGGUCUGUAGCCCGCCUCACCGCCCCCUCCUCCUCGGUGAUUUAGAACUGCUGCCUGGUCCGACGCUGCCGCCUCUUUGGCUUCCGCCUCCCAGAACUUGCCAGCUUCCCCCUUCCCUUUUCCUCCCUCCCAGGCGCUGCCCAGUCCUCCUCAAAGGCCCGUCUCAGGUCAGCGCUGGCACCUGGGCUGCGAGCUCCUCUUAAGCCGGGCUUCUGACCCUCCUUUGUUCCACGGACCCUUUGCCUGGCAAGGGAAAACCACGUACCCCUUACAAAGUCCACACUACACUGUGUUAUUCAAUAAAUAUAUCACUCCCGCACCAACCCGUA
rnacentral:lncRNA from 1 species